rnacentral:rRNA from 1 species
GAUGAACGCUGGCGGCGUGCCUAAUACAUGCAAGUCGAGCGAACGGACGAGAAGCUUGCUUCUCUGAUGUUAGCGGCGGACGGGUGAGUAACACGUGGGUAACCUACCUAUAAGACUGGGAUAACUUCGGGAAACCGGAGCUAAUACCGGAUGAUAUUCUGAACCGCAUGGUUCAAAAGUGAAAGACGGUCUUGCUGUCACCUAUAGAUGGAUCCGCGCUGCAUUAGCUAGUUGGUAAGGUAACGGCUUACCAAGGCAACGAUGCAUAGCCGACCUGAGAGGGUGAUCGGCCACACUGGAACUGAGACACGGUCCAGACUCCUACGGGAGGCAGCAGUAAGGAAUCUUCCGCAAUGGGCGAAAGCCUGACGGAGCAACGCCGCGUGAGUGAUGAAGGUCUUCGGAUCGUAAAACUCUGUUAUUAGGGAAGAACAUAUGUGUAAGUAACUGUGCACAUCUUGACGGUACCUAAUCAGAAAGCCACGGCUAACUACGUG